CCACUGCACUCCAGCCUGGGCAACAGAACGAGACUCUGUCUCAGAAAAAGAAAAAUAUAUAUAUAUAUGUUUAGUAAUUGUUACUAUGUUAGUGAGAUUAUUAUGAGGAAGGCUUGGUUCACCUUUCUACCUUCUGGUCCAAUCACUGGAAACGGCACUGCCUGUGCACUGGGAGACCUGGUUCUAAAUUCCAGACCAGCACUUAUUCUAUGACUUUAGGCAACUUAAGCCAGAUUGCCCACCCAUAACGUGGUUCCUGUCCUACCUGCCUCAUCAGGUUUACUUUGGAAUCCCCUUGGCCGAGAGGAGGAGUCCAUUCAGUCGAUUGGGAGGCCUAGAAUUUUAUUGUUGGCUUCUAUUACCUAUAGAGGAAAAAGGAUAAAAAUUACACUGGACUUCUCUUCAGAAACCAUGUAAGUAAGAAGAGUGUGGAAUGAAAUAAGGAAAGUGUUAAAAGAAAAAACCACCAACCUAGAAUUCUGUAUCCAGCAAAAUUGCCUUCAAACAAUAAAUUUUUUACACACAAAAAAUUUGAGAGAAUUCAUUGACCCUAGUAGAACAUUAAGAAAUGUUAAAAGAAGUUCUGCAGAGAGAAGAAAAAUGAUAUAGAAAAUCAAACUUAUGUAAAGAAAGGAAGAGUGUUUGAGAAGGAAUACAUGAAUGUAGAAUAAUCUAAUAAUCAAAAACUGGAAUCAUCAUAGAAUGUCUUCUACCAAACCAGUGUGUUUAGAAUUGCUGGUUUGGUAGCUAGUUUCUUUCCAUCAUUGUAGCUGUUUUCUAUUGCUACUGACCAAAAAAAAAAAAAAAAAAAAAAAAAAAAGAUCAAAGAAAACAAAAAUGUCAUGACAAUGAGAAAAGUGACAUAUUGUGUGAUUUGAUUUUCAUUUAAGAUCUAGUCUAGGUAAGGAUGGAGGUGAGGGGACUGAUUUCUUCCACCUACCCUGCUACCCUGUGCCUUUGAGGAACAUUUGUUGAAAUAUUCAUUGAAAUAACAAAUCAAUUUUUAUUACAUUUAUUGGAGUUGAACAAAUUAAAGGAGUUAAUUCCCCUCCCUUUGGUUGCUGUUUGCUGAAUCACUCUUUGUCAUUAAUACUGAAAAUCAAACUUAUGUAAAGAAAGGAAGAAUGUUUGAGAAUAGAAUUUUAUUUGAUUCUAUUAAUUAUUUUGUUAUUUAUUUUAUUUCUAUUUUAUUCAUAGUUUGAUGAACAGUUUUCUAAAGCAGAUAUCACCACACUAUGGCCCACACCUGUUCUUGUAAAUGAAGUUUAAUUGGAACAUAGUCAUGUUUGUUCAUUUAUAUCUUGUACUGUUUAUGAAUAGUGUAUUACUUGUUAUGUGUUGUGUCAUUGAUAGAGCUGCUUUUGUUUUACAAUAGCAAAGUUGGGUAGUUGCCACAGAUAUCAUUUGGCCAGCAAAAUCUGAAAUAUUUACUAUGUGAACCUUUACAGAAAAGUUUGCCCAUCCUUGUUCUAAAGGAGUAAAGGGGAUACUAAUUUAUAAAAAUUAGCAUCCUUCCAUCUUUUUUUUCUUACACUACUCUGAGCAUUGUGCAAACUAAAUACUGUAAGGUCUUUUUAAAAACUGACCUCAAUAACUAUCUGAGGAUAAUAAAUUGGUCCUCUCUUUCUUACAUUUGAGCAGAUCAUUGGUGUGAAAAUCCCACAACACUUGGAGCUUAGCUAAGUAGAAAAGUGGCCGGGUGCAGUGGCUCAUGCCUGUAAUCCCAGCACUUUGGGAGGCCAAGGCAGGUGGACCACUGGAGAUCAAGAGUUUGAGACCAACCUGGCCAACAUGGUGAAACCCCAUCACUACUAAAAAUACAAAAAUUAGCUGGGCAUGGUGACGGGUGCCUGUAAUCUCAGCUACUUGGAAGGCUGACGCAGGAGAAUAGCUUGGAGGCGGAGGUUGCUGUGAGCCGAGAUUGCGCCACUGCACUCCAGCCUGGGCGGCAGUGAGUGAGACUCCAUCUCAAAAAAAAAAAGAAAAAGAAAAAAGAAAAGUGACCAACCUUUAGAAUGCCUGCUUAUGUGGAGUUUGUGGUCCUGGCAGGGACAAUUUAUUUCUCCCAUUCUAUCCAGUAGCUGGCUGGAAUGUGAACAUGGUGAUAAAAUACCCUACACUAUCUCAGAGGGAGUCCUCUGUAACUUUUCAGUCCAAUGCAUAGAUUCAUUUCAAACCUACUGUGUCAGACAUUGUACUGAAUGCUGGAGCUACAGGAUGAGUAAGACAGUCACCUGCUUGGAAGGUGUCCACAGCCUUAGGAUAGUUAACUAUUGUUUACCUUAAAGAGAAACUUAUUUCUUCAUCACAGCAAUGAAGUUGGGCUACAUCUUGUACCCUAAUCAGAUAUCUGUUUACUUCUGAUAGAGUCUGUAAAAUCAAAAACAAAAUUAGAAGUACAUAUAAAUUUUUUUAAAUAAAAUUACUACUGCAAACCA